AACGAUUGCAGGGCGUUGCAGCUUCGUUUUGCGUUUCGAUACCUCCACGCCAGACGUGAAUUUCAAGUUAGACGGCAGUGCAUUAGAGUUGAGGAAGAAAUGCUCAAAAGUAGAAGGGAAAUUGAAAUUGAUUCGAUGAGACUCAACAUAUAUAUCUCUAUCAAAUAUUCUUCAAAUAGCUAUUUUAGCUUUCCUCCUGAACUUACAAAUAUAUUUUAUCAGAUAUCAAAUUUAAUUUUCAUUGAUUCUUUGUGACCAUGACCCAUAUGGUUGAGGUUAGGUCAGAUUAGGAUGAUUAAUGUAGCCAUCCAAACAAAUAAAUGAAUGAAGGCGGCUUUUGUAAAGGAAGAAAACUGUGUCUAACAUAUAUAAAUGGGUAAUGCUACGGAGAUCAAAUGUUUAAACCAGAUUCUGCAAACGAAAUGAUAUGAUUGAUGAUUGAAUUAUAAAUGUUGAUUAACGUGUUUAUUUUCUAUUAAUGAGCAUUCUCCAACGUUUAAAUGGAGAAGUAGUAGAAAUCAAUAUUAGUUGAGUGGAGAUAAUGGAGAA
rnacentral:lncRNA from 1 species